rnacentral:rRNA from 1 species
AUUGAACGCUGGCGGCGUGCUUAACACAUGCAAGUCGAACGUGAAGAAGCAGCAAUGUUUCUGAAAGUGGCGGACGGGUGAGUAACACGUGGGUGACCUGCCUUGCAGAGGGGGAUAACGAGGGGAAACCUUCGCUAAUACCGCAUAGGCUUACACUGAUGGGAAUGGUGUGGGUAAAACUGAGGUGCUGCAAGAGGGGCCUGCGUCCGAUUAGCUAGUUGGUGAGGUAAUGGCUCACCAAGGCGACGAUCCGUAGCUGGUCUGAGAGGAUGAUCAGCCACACUGGAACUGAGACACGGUCCAGACUCCUACGGGAGGCAGCAGUAGGGAAUAUUGGACAAUGGGCGCAAGCCUGAUCCAGCCAUGCCGCGUGAGUGAAGAAGGCCCUCGGGUUGUAAAGCCCUUUUGUCCGGAAGAAAAGCUUUGGGUUAAUACCCCGAAGUCCUGACGGUACCGGAAGAAUAAGCACCGGCUAACUUCGUGCCAGCAGCCGCGGU